rfam:Erinaceus europaeus unplaced genomic scaffold scaffold00896, whole genome shotgun sequence
GGGUGUGAGGGCCAUCUGGCUGCGACAUUUGUCACCCCAUUGAUUGCCAGGGUUGAUCCAGCUGAUUUGGCUGGCAGGCCGGUGUCCCCUUCCUCCCUCACUGCUCCAUGUGCCUCCCUCUGGAAGCUGUGCACUCAGUCCAAGAGGAUGGCCUUCCCCAAUAGAGACAGACCGGUAUUCCAUUGAGGGUAUACAAGUAGCUGCACUCCCCACUAGGACCUCCAAACAAGCUCUCAAGGAAAAAUAGAAUUUCUAAAUACAUCUACCAAAUAGAUUCUCUACAAGGGCUUAGAGAGA